GUGAACGCUGGCGGUAGGCCUAACACAUGCAAGUCGAACGGCAGCACAGUAAGAGCUUGCUCUUACGGGUGGCGAGUGGCGGACGGGUGAGGAAUACAUCGGAAUCUACUUUUUCGUGGGGGAUAACGUGGGGAAACUUACGCUAAUACCGCAUACGACCUACGGGUGAAAGCAGGGGAUCUUCGGACCUUGCGCGAUUGAAUGAGCCGAUGUCGGAUUAGCUAGUUGGCGGGGUAAAGGCCCACCAAGGCGACGAUCCGUAGCUGGUCUGAGAGGAUGAUCAGCCACACUGGAACUGAGACACGGUCCAGACUCCUACGGGAGGCAGCAGUGGGGAAUAUUGGACAAUGGGCGCAAGCCUGAUCCAGCCAUACCGCGUGGGUGAAGAAGGCCUUCGGGUUGUAAAGCCCUUUUGUUGGGAAAGAAAAGCAGCAGGUUAAUACCCCGCUGUUCUGACGGUACCCAAAGAAUAAGCACCGGCUAACUUCGUG
rnacentral:rRNA from 1 species